GGUUCCCGUAGGUGAACCUGCGGAAGGAUCAUUA
rnacentral:rRNA from 2 species